GUGGUUCAGUGGUAGAAUUCUUGCCUUCCAUGUAGGAGCCUGGGGUUCAAUUCCCUGC
rnacentral:tRNA from 1 species